AUUGAACGCUGGCGGCAUGCCUAACACAUGCAAGUCGAACGAGUGGCGGACGGGUGAGUAAUGUCUGGGAAACUGCCUGAUGGAGGGGGAUAACUACUGGAAACGGUAGCUAAAACCGCAUACCAUCGGAUGUGCCCCGAGGGGAUUAGCUAGUAGGUGGGGUAAAGGCUCACCUAGGCGACGAUCCCUAGCUGGUCUGAGAGGAUGACCAGCAACACGGGAAAUGGGACACGGUCCAGACGCCUACGGGAGGCAGCAGUGGGGAAUAUUGCAAAAUGGGCGAAAGCCUGAUGCAGCCAUGCCGCGUGUAUGAAGAAGGCCUUCGGGUUGUAAAGUACUUUCAGCGGGGAGGAGUUACCCGCAGAAGAAGCACAGGCUAACUCCGUGCCAGCAGCCGCGGUAAUUC
rnacentral:rRNA from 1 species